rnacentral:antisense_RNA from 1 species
GAGCCUGCAAGGGAAGGGGAGCUGGCCACACGCUCGAGCAGAACACUGCGGAGCUGCAACCCCGGGAGGAGUCGCCGGACAGACUCAGAGCCGCGGUCCCCUGGGACCCAUGGAUGCACCGCGCCCCUCCCGCCCCAGCCUGCAGAGCCUGGAUGCUUCCCUCCCCACCUGGCGGGAAGCAGAGGCCCUCGGGCCCGACCGAGUUCGGGCCAGGACCCGCCCCGCUGUCUGCGAGCGACCGACUGCGGCCGCCACACUCACCUCGCCGCCAAGCAGCACUCGGGUUCUGACUCGGUCUCGGGUUCCGGCGGCGGCGGUGGUGGCGGCGGCGGCGGUGGCGGCGGCUCCUCCAUGGCGGCGGCAGGCGUGACGGCAAAGGCGGGAGGAGGGACCAGCGCGGCAGCGGCUUCUCUCAUCCGUGCACGGAGCCCCGCAUGGCCGCGGCGGGCAGUAAGCUGCAGCCUGGCGCGGGGCACCGGAGUCCCGAAGUGCGGGAGUGACUCGGCUCCGCCUCCGCCUCUACCCCGCCGCAGGAGCCGUGCGCGCCGCGGCCAUCUUGGAAACGGCGACCGGCCGAGCGCCGGGGCUACGGUGGGCGGCGAGGGACAAGCCUCCGAGAUCGGCGGCGGUGGCGGCGGCCGCGGCGGCGGCGGCGGGCGCCGGAAUCCGACCGGACGGGGGCGGAGACGGCGGCAGGGAGGGGCGGGGAGCGCCGUCAAGUGUCGGCGCGAUUCGGUCCUGCAGCCGGGUCUCGCCAGCUCGCCCGGUUUUGCCCCGGCCGGUGGCAGUGGGGGACUGUGGAGCGGAGCCGGGCUGUGCAGCGGGCUGGGAGCUCCAGGCUUCCCAGGCGGUCGUCGGUCUGGGAGGGACGCUGGGUAGGGCCGAUGAGCAGGGCGGGCACGGCGCUGUGAGCCCGGCCGGAGUCGCCGCCCAGCGACCUGCCACCCGGAUCCCACCUUCCAGGAGGACGGACGUCACCCAGACACUCGCAACUCCGGUCUCUUGACAGCGCAGCCUUCUACAGGCUCGAAUUUUUAAGACUUGACAUAAAGUCUCCGGAAUUCCAGACUAUUAAAGUGACGCCCCCCUCAUUUCAACCCGGCAAAACUUCUCACCCCAGUGUCAUAAGAUUCGAUAGCGAUCUCCCAGAAACUUGGACUGGAAUGCUCCUACACUGAGGGGGUGGGGGGGAAGAAGAAAUGCUAAAGAUUAUUUCAGAGUUACAGAAAUCCUGUUGAAAUUCCAAUGCAUCGUUUACUCUUAGCGCUGGGGCUUCACAGUUUUUUUUUAAGUUGGAAAUAUUUACAAAAUUUCCCAUAGGGUGAAAUCCAGAGUUAAUCCAAAACCAGAAUCUUUUAAAAUGAAGUACAUUCAAAUGUGCAGAUUUCUUAAAGCUCAUUUGGUUGAGCUUUGAUAGGUAAAAUGCACGUUUUGAACAACUCUGGUAACAAAGAAAAACAUUAAAUUGAUUAUAGAUAUAUUUAAAGACCAGUUGUGAAAUUAGCUAUAUUGUGCUCAAAGUAUGUUACUGACAUUUCUCCGUCGUUAAAAGGAACUGCUUCAUUCUAGUUUUUUAUAAUAGUCUGUAUUAUGUGUAUAGCCUGAUAGUGCUGAACUUCUGUAUUGACCUUCAUCUUAUUUACUCAACAAUAUUCAUUCGACAAAUACUUAUUAAGUGCAUAUAUGUGUCAGGAACUGUACUAGAUGCUGAGGAUGUAGCAGUAAGCACAACAGACCAAGCUAACAGCUUAGUAAAGGGUGAAGUAAAACAAAACAAAAAAGUAUUCAAAAGAAAUAAACUGAUUUUUAUCUUAAUUUUAAAAAUUACAAGUUUUUAAAAAUCACAAAUUGGUAUCCAUGUGUAAUUCAUUUCCGUGCAUUUUCUUGUGUAAAGAAAGCUUAGUAAAAGUAUUUCUUAGGUUUCUGUAAUUCUAGUUCUCUACUCGAUUUUCUUCUGCAAUUUUCUGAGCCAGAACCCUUCUUAGAAGGCGUAUUAGAGACUUUAAAAGUUAAAUAAUAAAAUAAAUUUCUUUAAA